UACGUAGGGUGCAAGCGUUGUCCGGAAUUAUUGGGCGUAAAGAGCUCGUAGGCGGUCUGUCACGUCUGCUGUGAAAACUCAGGGCUUAACCCUGAGCUUGCAGUGGGUACGGGCAGACUAGAGUGUGGUAGGGGAGACUGGAAUUCCUGGUGUAGCGGUGAAAUGCGCAGAUAUCAGGAGGAACACCGAUGGCGAAGGCAGGGUCUCUGGGCCAGUAACUGACGC
rnacentral:rRNA from 1 species